rnacentral:lncRNA from 1 species
AAAUUUUAAAUUCCGCUGCGCCUUGGAUGGCAAUUCUCCAACAUCAAUAUCAAUGGAACUUAGGUGUUGAUAAGGUGUAAACCAUAAUCCACCAAAAUGGAUGAUUGAUAUUGACGAUGACGUGAGCCAUCCGGUGACCUUUGUGUGGUGUGAAUUGCUUGAUCCUUCAGUGUGAUUGUUGCAUCCAUGCAUUCAUGCAUUCAUAUGCAUCCAUAUCAUCAACAAUAAAAUUUUCAAGAAACUUAACAGGUCUAUUUGCAAAU